rnacentral:rRNA from 1 species
UACAGAGGGUGCAAGCGUUAAUCGGAAUUACUGGGCGUAAAGCGUGCGUAGACGGUUAUGUAAGUCAGGUGUGAAAGCCCCGGGCUCAACCUGGGAAUGGCAUUUGAGACUGCAUAGCUAGGGUGCGGAAGAGGGAAGCGGAAUUUCCGGUGUAGCGGUGAAAUGCGUAGAUAUCGGAAGGAACAUCAGUGGCGAAAGCGGCUUCCUGGUCCAGCACGGACGUUCAGGCACGAAAGCGUGGGGAGCAAACAGG